AUAGUCUUGAUCCUUGAUGAUCAAGGCUCGAGGUUUGGGCCAGAGUUGGGCACAAUCCGAGGGAACCCACCAUCAAUUUUCUCAAUUGGAGCUGAAUUUUACAGAAGGACGCUCAAUUCACUUUCUGGGGUUUCACAGUUCUUCCUCUUCCACCCUUUGCGGAAAUGGCUGAAGCAAAGAAAUCAAACCCUGAUGUGGAGAAGAGGGUGAUGGUGGCCGUAGACGAGAGUGAGUGUAGCUACUAUGCCCUAAUCUGGGUACUGGAAAAUCUUAAACAAUCCAUUACCGACGCGCCUCUUUUCAUCUUCACCGCUCUACCUCCGCCCACCAGUUAUACCUCCGGUGCCGGUGCUUCUCUCGGCCUCGCGCGAUCGUAUUUCCCUGUCGCAUCCAAUACCGAGUUGUCUCAUACGCUUCAAGAGAAUGAUAAGAAAGUUAGAUGCGGCAUCCUAGAGAAAGCAAAAGAUAUCUGUGCUGAAAGAGGGGUGGCUGCGAUAUCCAUCACAGAGGUUGGGGAUCCUGGAAGGACGAUAUGUGAUACGGUUGAAAAGCUCAAUAUAAAUUUGCUUGUUUUGGGUGAUCAUGGCAUUGGGAGAAUUAAGAGAGCUCUUAUCGGGAGUGUGAGCAACUACUGUGUUCAAAAUGCCAAGUGCCCUGUCCUUGUCGUGAAGAAACCAUAGGAAAAUGAGGCCUUUCCUCAUAGUAUAAACUUGAAGAAAUCUGUCAACCAAAGAUGCUAUUCAAAACAGCUGCUAAUCUGACUCCGCCUUGUGCCAACCGCAGGACAUACAGUUGAAGUUGGGUUAUUAUGUUUACAUGGUGUAGAUUUUGCUUUCUGGUGUACCAGUGAACUUCAAUCGUGUUUCCUCCCUUGUCUUCAGCAAACCCAACAUGAAGAGGCUGCAUUUUAUGUCAGAAGCUGGGAAGUAUAGUUGUUAAUGGCCCCUGCAACGCACCGACCUUCCACUCCAUUUUCGUCUUUGCAGUCCCCUUUCGACCCAAACGACAAAAGUUCAGAACCAGAAAGGUGAGAGAAAUUACAACAACAGAGAGGGGAUGGAAACAGAGUAACUCAACUGGCAUAUUGGUAAGUGCAAAGGGAUUCUGGAGUAUUAACAUAAUGAAGAGCCGAUGACCAUCGAUAUCGAAACUUGAUUCGAUCAGCCCAAAUACAAACGUUCGCCAAUUCACCAUUUGCAUACUCAGGCAACAGUCGCUGCACUGCAUCAGCUGCUGCUCUGCUCAACCGCGACUGUCGCAAGCAAAAACAAACAUCAAAUUCUUCAUCAAAGAGGUAAACAAGGGGGAAUUGGUUUCAAUGAACGUGAAGAUCAAGAACCUGAGCGAUCUUGCAGAUGGUAAAAUGGCCAUCGAGGCCCCAACCAAAGCUAACAGGAAAGAUGAACACCAAGAACACUAGAAGACCCGCCAUGAAAGCUCUGCAGGGCUUCAUUUUUAGCUCCUGUUCUUGUUCUUCUGGUGAUUUGAUUCAUUUUUGUGUUUGAAUCUGUGCUUAAAUAGAGUGAUGAAUGCAAGAAAUCUCAGAAAGUAUGAACAGUUUAGAAACGCAUUCAAUUUCGUUGUGCUCAUAUGAGAUAUGCUAAGUGCUCUGUCACGCUGAAGUAGUUAAGGUAAAGUUUUAAAUUAUGGAACCGUUACCCUUUUGC